rnacentral:rRNA from 1 species
UACGUAGGCAGCAAGCGUUGUUCGGAGUUACUGGGCGUAAAGGGUGUGUAGGCGGUUCUUUAAGUUUUCUGUGAAAUCUCCCGGCUUAACCGGGAGGGUGCGGUGAAUACUGAGGGACUAGAGUACGGGAGAGGAAAGUGGAAUUCCUGGUGUAGCGGUGAAAUGCGUAGAUAUCAGGAGGAACACCGGUGGUGUAGACGGCUUUCUGGACCGUAACUGACGCUGAGACACGAAAGCGUGGGUAGCAAACAGG